rnacentral:rRNA from 1 species
CCUACGGGGCGCAGCAGUGAGGAAUAUUGGUCAAUGGACGAGAGUCUGAACCAGCCAAGUAGCGUGAAGGAUGACUGCCCUAUGGGUUGUAAACUUCUUUUAUAUGGGAAUAAAAUGUUCCACGUGUGGGAUUUUGUAUGUACCAUAUGAAUAAGGAUCGGCUAACUCCGUGCCAGCAGCCGCGGUAAUACGGAGGAUCCGAGCGUUAUCCGGAUUUAUUGGGUUUAAAGGGAGCGUAGGUGGAUUGUUAAGUCAGUUGUGAAAGUUUGCGGCUCAACCGUAAAAUUGCAGUUGAAACUGGCAGUCGUGAGUACAGUAGAGGUGGGCGGAAUUCGUGGUGUAGCGGUGAAAUGCUUAGAUAUCACGAAGAACUCCGAUUGCGAAGGCAGCUCACUGGACUGCAACUGACACUGAGGCUCGAAAGUGUGGGUAUCAAACAGGAUUAGAUACCCUAGUAGUC